CAGACUGCCUGGACAUGCAGAUGGAGUUGAUACAUUGGAAAAAGUCAGAAUACAUUAUUUCCAUGAGUUAAUGAUCAUUAUUACUGAUUUCUCUUAUCUGAUUUCUUUUCUGGUUUAUCGUUUUUCCUAUUUUUUAUUUGUCCCUG